UGUUUGGGGAAACACGUAGCCUACGUUUGACCAAUCGCAGCGGUGUUGGUAAUAACUUUGGGCGAGUUCUGUAAAGCCGAAAAGCUAGUUGCAUCAGGUUGUGUCGUGGGGGAGAAACCGUUGAUGAGGAGGAUGCCAGAACUGGUGCUACUACUGUCAGAAAGCAUGAAGGCAGAGACUGUUUCCUGGGAGACAGAAAAUUCAGCCUGACCCAGAAACCAACCUAUAGCCUAGUUAGCAGCCUAGAGUCCGUUCUGCAGGCAACCACCAAAGGAAUCUGGAGCAGAGGGAUGUCACCUGGCAGUCUCUUCCUGGGCACCCGGGCAGCAGCUGUCGGAAUACACUCGGCUUUGUGUUUUUAUACGAGAGAAGAGCACAGAGUGACUGCCACAUAUGAAGAGCGGGAAUCAAAGGAAGCCGUGGAAUGCGUUGGGGUAAAAAUGAACACAAGAAUGAAUGACG